AUAUAAUAAUGCAACCAACUAGCGCUAAUAAUUUGUAGGACUUAAACUACCGGCUCAAAAUAUUUAAGCUCAGUUAUUAGUUCUAAUACAUUCGUUACAUAUAAAUCCCUAUAUUAUCUGAUUUGGGACUAUUUUGCUGUCACAUACUCUUCCCAUUUAAGACCUUGAAAUUUUCAUCAGUCCAAUCACACACAAAGUCCAAGCUCAGCAAGCGGUCUGAGACUCACUUCACAUUUUCGGAUGGUAAAUCAGCUUUGUACCAAUUGUAACAAUCUAAAACUAAUAACUAAAUUUAAGUAUUUUAAGACAGUGAUUUGGGUCAAACGAAUUAUUAAUAGAAGUAGUAUGAGUUGUUACAAUAAAAGUAAGCAAGAAAUCCAACCAUUCAAAACUAAGGCCUGAACAUGCCAAUCAAUUACUUAAAUAAGGAGAGCUUCAUUCUCACGCUCUAGUAAUCUCCUGAAGUUACAAGCAUACAUAAUUUUAAUAUUAAUAGAUAGAUUCAGUACCGACCAUCCCUAGCUAGCGCAAGUGGCAAAAGGACUUGAUGGUUGGUACCCGAGACCCAAGUUCAAAAUCUAAUUAAUUCAUAUUUCCAGCUAAGUUUAUUUCUAAAUGAAAUAAACGAAGCGGCACUACUAGAAAAUUAGUCAUUAGCGGCAUUUAUUUAUCCUGCUAAAUAUCAACAAAUGCUGCUAAAAAUUUUAGCAGCAUAUGACACCAAAUGCUGCCUAUGCCAAUAUUGUUAAAAGUAUUAGCAGCAUUAAUUAUAAAUACUGCCAAUAUAAAUCAAUUAGUGUCAUUAGGAAUAUGCAGCUAAAAGCGAUUAAAUGCAAAUUUUAAAUUGUUUAUUAGCGGCACAUAAAUAAUAUGCCGCUAAUACAAAUAUCUGAUUUUAAAAAUUAAAAUUUUAAAAUUAUAAUUUUAUUUUAUAUUUAAUUUUUUUGAGAUGCUACCCGCUUCAUUUAAUUAUUUCUUCUUGUCUUAAACUUUAUUAAAAAUGUGAAUCAACUAGGUUUUGAACUUGAAACCUCGAGUACCAACAACCAAACCCUUUGCCACUUGCGCUAGCAACUAUUAGUUAUGUAUAUUUUAAUUUUUUAUAUUUUAAGUCUUAUAUUUUAAAAUUUUUAAAUCUUAAAUUUUAAAAUUUUAAAUUUAGAUACUAAAUUUAAAUUUUUAAAUUUGAAAUAUGAAAUUUUAAGUUUCAAAAUUAAGAGUUUUAAAUUUGAAAUUUAAAAUUUAAAAUAAAUUUAAAAAUUUAAANGUGAUAGAUUAAUAAUUAUAUAUUAAUUAGUAAUGAUAUUUAGUAACAAGUGCUGCUAGUUUAUUAUAUUUAUCGACAUUCACUAAUUUAUGCUGUUAAUUUAUCUUAUUUUGCAACAUUAAUAGUAAAUUGCUACUAAAUAAUUAAAUCUAGCAGCAAUUAUCAUGUAAUGCUGCUAAGUAUAUUAAUUGACAUGAUUUAAAUAAAUGUUGCGGACCAAAUAUUACGACAUUUAGCAAUAAGUGCUGCUACUUUAUUAGAUUUAGUGUCAUUUUUUAUAAAAUGCUGAAAACUUCGACGGCAUUUACUAAUUUAUGCUGCUAAUUUAUUCUAUUUUGCAAUAUUAAUAAUAAAUUGCUGCUAAAUUAUUUAAUUUAGCGACGCUUAUCAAGUAAUUAAUACCGUUAAAUAUAUUAAUUAGCGUUAUUUAAAUAAAUACUGGGGAGUAAAUGCCGAUAAAUCAUGAAUUUAUAAUAGUGCGGGUAGCAUACUACCUUUCUCUCUCAAAAGAAAAAAAAAAAAAAA
rnacentral:lncRNA from 1 species